rnacentral:rRNA from 1 species
CCUACGGGGGGCAGCAGUGGGGAAUAUUGCGCAAUGGGCGAAAGCCUGACGCAGCGACGCCGCGUGAGGGAUGAAGGUCUUCGGAUCGUAAACCUCUGUCAGCAGGGAAGAACGGUCACUGUGCUAAUCAGCAGUGAAUUGACGGUACCUGCAAAGGAAGCACCGGCUAACUCCGUGCCAGCAGCCGCGGUAAUACGGAGGGUGCGAGCGUUAAUCGGAAUUACUGGGAGUAAAGCGCUCGUAGGCGGUAUGUCAAGUCAAGGGUGAAAUCCCCGCGCUCAACGUGGGAACUGCCUUUGAAACUGGCAAACUGGAGUGUGUGAGAGGAUAGUGGAAUUCCUGGUGUAGGAGUGAAAUGCGUAGAUAUCUGGAGGAACAUCAGUGGCGAAGGCGACUAUCUGGCACAUAACUGACGCUGAGGAGCGAAAGCGUGGGUAGCAAACAGGAUUAGAUACCCUGGUAGUC